UUUAACUGAAGAGUUUGAUCAUGGCUCAGAUUGAACGCUGGCGGCAGGCUUAACACAUGCAAGUCGAGCGGGGGAAGGUAGCUUGCUACUGGACCUAGCGGCGGACGGGUGAGUAAUGCUUAGGAAUCUGCCUAUUAGUGGGGG
rnacentral:rRNA from 1 species